AGAUGAUGCCUAUGAUCAAGAGGUGUUUCCCUUACUACUGCAACAUUUUCACUACGACUUGUGACCAGAAUGCAGCUUUGUUUACUUUCAUUCAUUCCCAGCAAACUAUCCCUUAAGUCCUCCCAAUUUUUAAUAUCCUCAUCCCACAGAUCAUCAAGUACGAGGAGUUUUGCUAAAGUGGUUUCGCCCAAACCGGCCAUGCCUACUAUGGAUGCUAUCGACAAACUUUGGCGAGUGGUCGAACCAAUGAAGAGAUCAACUACUUUUAGGGCAUCAGCUUCCCUUCCAACAACUCGUGAUGAGUCGCCAAAGGAGUGGGUGCCUCCUACUCUACUAGACACUGGAGACGAAAUUUGAAGUCUUUGUUGGAGUCCAAAGUCAGUGGCCUGACGGUUAAUAUCCUUAAUGGAUAGGUUAAUAUUCUUUACCUUUUUAGCCAUCUUUAGAGUAAAUGCCAUGGGACUCUUGGAAAGGGAGAAGAAAUUGCAGACCUUUUUACUCAUUUGGUUGUCCACCUUCCUGCGGACAUGUUCGUAAGAGCUCAUCCAACUCAUCAUCCUCCUCAUAAGCGAUAUCACUAAGCUGCUCCAACCAGACUUUGACAGGCUCAUCAACUUGCCCCCUCCCUGCAUCUUGCUAGAAAGCUCGAGUGAGAGCGAAUGAGGAACGAAGCUUGUUCAGCUUGUCCUUGAAAUACCAGCACAAAGUGUUUUUAUUGGUGUGGCCAAAAACAGCACCGAAAGGAACAACAAUGGAUGAUAUCUUCAGGAUAAUCAAAUACGAGGAAAAAGACAGUGACACAUAAAAUUUGGAUUAGUCUCUGUUUGUAAAGUAAACAAAGAAAAGAGAAGUUAUAGUUUCAGUUACGGUUUUUAUUUUCAGAAACACAA